AUUGAACGCUGGCGGCAGGCCUAACACAUGCAAGUCGAGCGGCAGCGGGAAAGUAGCUUGCUACUUUUGCCGGCGAGCGGCGGACGGGUGAGUAACGCCUGGGAAAUUGCCCAGUCGAGGGGGAUAACAGUUGGAAACGACUGCUAAUACCGCAUACGCCCUACGGGGGAAAGCAGGGGACCUUCGGGCCUUGCGCGAUUGGAUAUGCCCAGGUGGGAUUAGCUAGUUGGUGAGGUAAUGGCUCACCAAGGCGACGAUCCCUAGCUGGUCUGAGAGGAUGACCAGCCACACUGGAACUGAGACACGGUCCAGACUCCUACGGGAGGCAGCAGUGGGGAAUAUUGCACAAUGGGGGAAACCCUGAUGCAGCCAUGCCGCGUGUGUGAAGAAGGCCUUCGGGUUGUAAAGCACUUUCAGCGAGGAGGAAAGGUUGAUACCUAAUACGUAUCAACUGUGACGUUACUCGCAGAAGAAGCACCGGCUAACUCCGUGCCAGCAGCCGCCGUAAUAC
rnacentral:rRNA from 1 species